GCCCAGCCAGUAUGGUGAAUAUUACCCUUGACUUGUAACCGAGUGGGUUCGGGUUCGAAUCCCGAGUAAGGCA